GCUCUACAUUUUAUUUAUUUAUUUCUACUCUGUACAGAAGAGGAUUAGAGCCACUGACAAGACAAGAAAAAAAGAAAAGAAAGAGAAUUGUUAUGUUUUGUCAUGGGCUGUUUUUAUUCUCACCAUGUUUUUAGGUCUAAGAGUCUGCAGGCGGGCGUGUCUGGAGAGCAGGAGCAACGGCCAGCUGCAGCUCAUCUCCAAGCAUCCUCCUGGGUGUAUUUAAGAAGCUGACUUCCUCAACACUCUUGCCGGAUGAUUACUCAACCUGGGAAUCAUCUCCUCCAGCCAUCUCCAAGAACUUCUCAUCAGCUCCACUUCAUGCAGCUUCAACUCCUGGCUGUAUGCUUGUUACGGCUGGAGCCUUUUUGUGUUGUGAUUUCAUUUUUCUGCGCAUUUUUAUGUUGCAUCUGAGGAGCCUGCCUGCAGACGAUGGCCUGUUGGCUCAACCUUGCUCCUCCCUGCACCAGCUGAGCUGGGUUUUCAUCAGCCACAAAUUGUUUAAAGGACCAGCUGGAGCUCCGCACCAAUGGGGGACAAUAGUGCAGAGCUGCCUUUCCUCUGGUCUGUUGUCUCCCACUUAGAACUUUGAUAUUGUGCUCUUUAGAGUUAUGUUACAUAUUACUGUUUGAACCUGUUAUGGUAAAAGUGGAUUUAGAUCCAUGGUGGUUAACAAUAAUAAUAGUCAUCUAUUCUGAAUUAAGAGAAAGUAAAUAAAACUUUUGUUAAUUUUC